rnacentral:lncRNA from 12 species
GUUAUUUUAAUUUUUUGUAAGGCUUAAUCCACAAGUAGAAAGUGCCACAGAAAAAUAGCCUUUAAAAAAAAAUAUUUUAUUUAUUUGAGAGAGAGCAUGCACACAUUUGAGCGAUGGCAGGAGUAGGGGUGAGGGGGUAGAGGGAGAGGGAGAAGCAGACUCCUUACCAAGCAGGAGCCCCAUGCAGGACUUGAUCCCAGUCCCAGGACUUGGGAAUUGUGACCUGACCCAAAGGCAGACGCUUAACCAACUGAGCCACCCCGGUGCCCCAGAAAAAGUGAUUUGAUUAUAUAUAAUUUUAACAAAGCUUUGAAGUGUAUUUUUGAGGUCUGGGUUAUUUUGCAACUAACCCUCCAGUUACGUGUAUUGGUUUUCACAGGCUCUAAGAUAUUCAUUCACUUAUGUCUGACCUUGCAUAAAUAGUUAUAUUAAUCCCCCCAUGAACUCUGAUUUCUUAACCUUUAAUCUUGUUUAUUUCUGACCUCUUAUUUGUUUAGAUUUCUUGCCAAAAGGAAUGAGUAAACAAAAGGAAUAUGACUUAUGGCUCUUACCCUCUAGCAAAGAUUUAAAGCUUCUGCUUAACCAUAAUCACUAUCACGAACAUGAAAUGACAAUUUAAGAAUGUAAACAUAUGGGAUCAUUAAUAAAGCUGACCCUUCCUCUUGGCAAGGGCAAUAACAUUCUCUUGUACAAACAGUUAGAUUUGGCAACGUGAUUAGAAAACAAGCCUAGUAAAACCAUGCCUAGAUAAUUUUGCUGAAGUACAGAAUGUCCACAGGGAUUUGCUAAUUGAAUUGUUACAGGCAUGGUUGAGCAAGUUAACUACUGUGGCUUCACGUGUUCAGGGAUUCACUGUGUCUCAUUAUGUCAGCCAAGACCGAUUGCCAGAAGAGAGGUGUGUGUCACUGUUUAAAACAGUUUGUCUCCCUGGAGGUGGGCUUAAUGUUGUUGUAGUGAUAAUUGAAGUUUACAGGUAUAUUCCCAACUGGAGGUCAGCGGAUGGGGAGAAUUUGUAGAAGAAGGGAAGAGAAGGGUAACAUUCUCCAUAGCAGAUACUAUUGGGGUCCUACCUGUAUUGAUUUGUUCCUCACUACUUCACUGCACACUGAAAACAUGAACAAUAUAAGCUAACUCAUAUGUUGGAAAGAUUAAACAAGAUCCAAUGUGUAGAGUAUUUCUUUUUCUCUAAAAUAUAUGCUACUUGUCUAACUAUAAAAAUUAUUUUAUUUUUCUUAGAGUUACUAUGUAGCUAGUUAGAGUCACUGCUCUUUGUUAUAUUGAAAAUAAGAAUGAUAGACACUCCAUUUGGUCCCUUUCACAUAUUCACUCAAAAGAACUUGCAUAUAUAAUGAGUGAUUUGUCACUUAAUCUUUUAAAUAGUAAGUUUUGGUUUAUUGAGAAGCUUCUAGGACCUUUUGCAACUUCUGAGAAUUCUAAAACAAAAUUACUGAGCCAUUCAUAUGGCUUUCUGCCAAAAAUAAUCUUUUAGUUAAAAUCCUCAGUCUAUUAUUUUUUUAAGAUUUUAUUUAUUUAUUUAUGAAAGACACAGACAGAGAGACG